CCGACAGACUCACGGGCAGCCGGCGAACGGGAGCCAAAGUGGGUCCCAGGGUCGGUGGACAACCCCCGUCCGCCGCCCGAGAAUUGUGACCAUGCCGCAUGCCAUGCUAGAAGCGAGCGUCCUGGAUGAAAAGUACCUCAUGGCGUGGGGGAGUGACGUCACCCACCCGGCUCCGGGAUCGCAGCUGGAGAACCACAGCCAGACCGGGAAUAAGAUACAGGGUGAGCACAACCCUCCAGUGUCUGGUUCUGACCAAUUAAGUUGCCAUCAACCAGUGGGUGACAAUCCCUGACUGUCUGCGAUUAAUAGGGAAGGAGGUCAGAUCUACUAGCAGUCGGACCGGCUUGGGGGUUAUAGUAAUCGCAGAGAGAAAGUACCCCUUUGAGAACAGCAGAUGCCUUCCAUAGCUGCCUUCCAUGAUUGAAAGCAAAAGAUCUGAUAAAACAGAGCCAGAUGAUACAUUCCUUUAAGGAAAAACUCAGUUUGCCUCUAGCUUAUAAAUGAAGCAGUUUAGGAAACACGUCGGGAACCGGCUUGGAAUAAAAACUCAUCUGCUG